rnacentral:rRNA from 1 species
GGACCCGCACAAGUAGUGGAGCAUGUGGUUUAAUUCGAAGAUACGCGCAGAACCUUACCAACACUUGACAUGUUCGUCGCGGCUCUAAGAGAUUAGAGCUUUCGGUUCGGCCGGACGAAACACAGGUGCUGCAUGGCUGUCGUCAGCUCGUGUCGUGAGAUGUUGGGUUAAGUCCCGCAACGAGCGCAACCCUCACUUUUAGUUGCCAUCAUUUAGUUGGGCACUCUGAAAGAACUGCCAGUGAUAAGCUGGAGGAAGGUGGGGAUGACGUCAAGUCCUCAUGGCCCUUACGUGUUGGGCUACACACGUGCUACAAUGGCAUUUACAACAGGAAGCAAGACGGCGACGUUAAGCAAAUCCUUAAAAGAUACCUCAGUUCGGAUUGCACUCUGCAACUCGAGUGCAUGAAGCUGGAAUUACUAGUAAUCG